GAUGAACGCUGGCGGCGUGCCUAAUACAUGCAAGUCGAGCGAACAGACGAGGAGCUUGCUCCUUUGACGUUAGCGGCGGACGGGUGAGUAACACGUGGAUAACCUACCUAUAAGACUGGGAUAACUUCGGGAAACCGGAGCUAAUACCGGAUAACAUGUUGAACCGCAUGGUUCAACAGUGAAAGACGGUCUUGCUGUCACUUAUAGAUGGAUCCGCGCCGCAUUAGCUAGUUGGUAAGGUAACGGCUUACCAAGGCAACGAUGCGUAGCCGACCUGAGAGGGUGAUCGGCCACACUGGAACUGAGACACGGUCCAGACUCCUACGGGAGGCAGCAGUAGGGAAUCCUCCGCAAUGGGCGAAAGCCUGACGGAGCAACGCCGCGUGAGUGAAGAAGGUCUUCGGAUCGUAAAACUCUGUUAUUAGGGAAGAACAAAUGUGUAAGUAACUAUGCACGUCUUGACGGUACCUAAUCAGAAAGCCACGGCUAACUACGUG
rnacentral:rRNA from 1 species